GGUCAUGUACAGGCAAACAGAGAGAAGGGAAAAGAAACAAUCUGUGCUCUCAAAUAACAAAGCAGUCUCAAAUCUUUUUGAGGAAUUACAGCUAAAAAAAAUUCUACUUUGCAUACAGUACAUCCUCUCAUAAAUAAAGUGAAGUACUUUGAUUGCAUUUCUGUGGUGUUCCUGUAGGUGACCAUGAUGCAGCCAGACUGAAGCAGCAGGUUGUGAAGGUGGACGCCAUCAUCUUGUCUUUGCAGCGCUGAUUCUGAAGAGAACACCUUCAUAUAGGACUCAAAGGAAAUCAAUGCUCAAAGGAAACAGCAGUUCAGAGUCUGAUUCCAGCUCCGAAGAUGCCCUCAGAUUCAGAUCCAUCAACAACCCCUGACAACAUGGAGGACUCGUCCCCUGAGCGUUUCCUGUCCCCUCUCGAUGGAGUUCUUCUCUUCAGUCAUUAACUCUUGAAAACAGUAGCACAAAAUGCCAGACUGUUUGACAAGUCUGUGAUUGAAUAAAUGGAAAUGGAAUCUCA